rnacentral:rRNA from 1 species
AACGAACGCUGGCGGCAUGCCUAACACAUGCAAGUCGAACGAGAUCUUCGGGUCUAGUGGCGCACGGGUGCGUAACGCGUGGGAAUCUGCCCUUUGGUUCGGAAUGACAGUUGGAAACGACUGCUCAUACCGGAUGAUGACGAAAGUCCAAAGAUUUAUCGCCAGAGGAUGAGCCCGCGUAGGAUUAGCUAGUUGGUGUGGUAAAGGCGCACCAAGGCGACGAUCCUUAGCUGGUCUGAGAGGAUGAUCAGCCACACUGGGACUGAGACACGGCCCAGACUCAGACGGGAGGCAGCAGUGGGGAAUAUUGGACAAUGGGCGAAAGCCUGGUCCAGCAAUGCCGCGUGAGUGAUGAAGGCCUUAGGGUUGGAAAGCUCUUUUACCCGGGAUGAUAAGGACAGUACCGGGAGAAUAAGCUCCGGCUAACUCCGUGCCAGCAGCCGCAGUAA